CUAUUGACGCGUCGCAUUGCACACCGACCCUUGUUCUCCCCUCCUCCACGCGUGCUUAGUCGUCUUGCGCGUGGCGGCGGCACCGAUCCUUUGCGCCCGCGGCGCGCCGUGCGUGCAGGAAACACAAACGCAAGCACAGUGCUCUGCUUGCCCGCCACACACCUGUGCAGGUACCUUCCCCCCCUUGAUGGACACGCUGCACGCAUUUUCUGAGCAGCAUACCGAGCGCUCCUGUUUUUUUUUUCUGUUGGUAGCUUGUUUUACCUGCUCGCUGUCUGUGGCUGGCCUGGCUGUUGGCUACUCUGCAUGAGCGAAAGCCCGGCGAAGAGCGGCGUAUGCGAGCGCGUGUGUGUCGUGGACACUUCAACGUCACCCUGACUCACUUCCGGCGUUGCUCUGCGUGACCCACACUUUCAACGGUCCCGUCCUCUCUCCAAUCGCUACUUUCCUCCCUCCCAUUCGUCUCAUCGUACACACGGGCGAUUGUGCCGCCGUUGCCGUUGAAG
rnacentral:misc_RNA from 1 species